rnacentral:rRNA from 1 species
UUGAGCUUGAUCCCUGGCUCAGAUUGAACGCUGGCGGCAGGCCUAACACAUGCAAGUCGAGCGGAUGACAGGAGCUUGCUCCUGAAUUCAGCGGCGGACGGGUGAGUAAUGCCUAGGAAUCUGCCUGGUAGUGGGGGACAACGUUUCGAAAGGAACGCUAAUACCGCAUACGUCCUACGGGAGAAAGCAGGGGACCUUCGGGCCUUGCGCUAUCAGAUGAGCCUAGGUCGGAUUAGCUAGUUGGUGAGGUAAUGGCUCACCAAGGCGACGAUCCGUAACUGGUCUGAGAGGAUGAUCAGUCACACUGGAACUGAGACACGGUCCAGACUCCUACGGGAGGCAGCAGUGGGGAAUAUUGGACAAUGGGCGAAAGCCUGAUCCAGCCAUGCCGCGUGUGUGAAGAAGGUCUUCGGAUUGUAAAGCACUUUAAGUUGGGAGGAAGGGCAUUAACCUAAUACGUUAGUGUUUUGACGUUACCGACAGAAUAAGCACCGGCUAA